ACUCCCCUCCUCUACUUCUGGUUGUCAUGAACUAAGCUCCUGUCCUCUGCCACACCCUUCCACCAUGAUGUUCCUGCCUUGAAGCCAGCCAACCAUGGACUAAAUCCCAUGAAACUAUGAGGUAAAAUGGGAAUUUAUUCUUUCAAGUAAAAAUUGUCUUUCAUGGAAAAACGUAUGUCCUGCUUGGCUCACACCUUCAACAAUUCCACAGUGUUUUUCUCAAGACAACUGUCAUACCCAGAAGGAAAUCUGAGACUAGGAAACCUGACCUUUGGAUGACCUUCUUAAUCUGGUCCCUGGACAGAACACCUGAGACACCUGAGAUCCCUGGGGAAUCCACACUGCAAGAAAGGACGUGCAGCCGCAGGGAUCCUGAGCCCUUCCUGCACCAUGGCGUGCUGCUAAGAAUAGCGAGAGUACAGUAUGUGUGCCUCUGAAGAGCUUCCUGUGCAGUUUGCCAUCCUGGGGAAGACACCAUGCUAUCUCCUUAGUUGCCCUUCUUCUGCUCCUCCUUACUGACAAGACCUAACUUCGCUCAGGGUGACAAUGUAUCCAGUAUCUUAGAGUGAAAACACGAGGCCUGCAGGUUGAAUAGCUCUCUUGAGACUGCGAGGAUCAACCCACCAGCCAACGAUAGCAGAGCCUGGAUUCCUGAUGACUUCCUCUGCUUUGCUUACCAAGAGGAAGCUGACUUUCUUUCAGCUGAAGCUGCUGCGGUUCUGGGUCUGUUACAUGCAAUCAGAGGAAAUCUUUAAAUGAUGCAUAACUCAAUCUCAGUCUCAAAAGCCAGGCUGGGACUGGGGGUGUGGUCUAGUGGUAAAACAUGUGCUGAACAUGUGUGAGAUCCUGGGUUUAAUUUCUAGCAUGCACACACACUCACACACAGCCAAAAGUGUACACCAUUUGGAGAACUAGACAAGAAAAUUCUAAAGUUUACAAGGAAAAUUAGACAAAUAAUAACAGUAAUAAUCCCAGGACUCUGGGAGUCUGAGACAGAAGGAUCAAAAGUUUGAGGCCAACCUGGGCAACUUAGUGAGACCUUGCUUAAAAAUAAAAAUAGAAAAGAUCUGGGGAUGUGACUAUUGGUAGAGUACUACUGGGUUCCAUCCCCAGUAGCACAAAAACAAAACAAAACAAAAUCUAAAAAGGAAAAGAAAAACUGUAAAAGAUGAUUAGUAGUGGGGAAUAAUCCUCCCAGAUAUUAAAAUGCACUGCAAACCUACAGUAUAAUUAAAAUAGUGGGCUGUCUCCACUUAAAUAGGCACACAGUUUAAAAGGAAGCCCAGAAGUAUACUCAAAUACAUAUGGAAAUUUUGUCUAUGGUAGGAAUGGCACUUUGUAACCGUAGAGAGAAUAUAGACUACCCAAAAAUAGUUUUUACAACUGGGCAGCCUUAAGAGUGAGGCUGAACCCCCUACUGCAAACAUUAAAGUAAAUUUGAAAUAGAUCCAAAAUUUAAAUUUGAAAAAUAAAACCAUAAAGAAACUGGGAGAAUACUUUUAUGACCUUUGAAUGGGAAAGGGCUUUUCAGUGUGACAAAAACUACAAGCUGUAAAAUAAUGAUUACUAGUUUUAGCAACAUAAAAGUAAACAAAAUAUAUGUUAGUUAUCUAUUACUAUGUAAAAAUUUGUCGAAAAAAAAUUUGUCCAAAAGUUUAGAGGUUUCAAAUAAUAAUGACCACUCAUUAUGUCUCACGGAGUCUAUGGGCUGGAAAUUCAGGCUGGCACAGUUGGGCCUAUCUUGUCUCCUUGUCUGGAGCCUCAGCUGGACAGCUGGAAGUGGGAGUGGUUCCCCAGAGGCUCCCUCACACUCGGACAGCUGAUGCUGGCCACUGGUUGGGGUUCUAGCUGGAUUGUUUGCUGGGGCACUCAUAUGAGGCCUCUCCCUGUGGCAUGGAGUUCAGUUUCAAGGGAGAGAGUGAGAAAGAGAGAGAGAGGCUUUUCAUAAUUCAAUUUUCAGGUAUUAUUUCCACCAAUGUUUUAUCAAAGGAAUAAAGACCUCACCUAUUAAUGAAGGGAUGUCAGCAUCACAGAAAAAGGACAGCAUGUUUGCAGGGCAGGAGGGAUAUACUGACAUGACCGUCUUGGAAAGUACAACUGACCAACCAACCUAACAAACAAACAAACAUAAAACCAUGAAUAAAGUCAAAUGACUAUUCACAAACUGUAUUGCAAUUCAUAUCACAGAUAAGAGGUUAACUUCCUCUUAACGUAAAGAGUCCUUAUCAAUAAGAAAAAGGCUAGGCAUGGAGGCACACACCUGUAAUCCCACCACUUGGGAGGCUGAGGCAGGGGGAUUGCUGCAAGUCUGAGGCCAGCCUGGGCUACAUAAUGAGUUCAAGGCCAGCCUGAACUACAUAGUGAGACCUUAACUCAAAACAAAACAAAACAAAAAUAAAAUCAAUAAUAAAAAGACCAAUUGUACAAAAGUAGUAAAAUGAGCAGUUCAUAGAGAAAAUACAAAAGACUUUUAAACAUUUGAAAAUAUGUCCAACUUCAGUUAUAAUAAAGGAAAAAUUAAAACUACAAUGAAGAACUCACUAAAAUGCCAGUAAAAGAAUUUAGCAACCCAUUAAAAGCAUUUUUAAAAGAAUUUAGCAACCCAUUAUAUACCACAGCUAACUAAAAUUUAUUCCUGGAAUGCAAGGAUGGCCCAAUAUAUGAAAAUCAACCAACGUAAUGUACCACAUUAAUGGAAUAAAGAAAAAAAACAUAAGUUCACCUCAAUUAAUAAAGAAAAUUGAUUUUACAAAAUUCAACACCUUUACUUGAUAACACAAACAAACUAAAAAUAAAAGGAAAUUAUCUCAACAUAAUAAAGGCCAUAUAUAAAAUAUCUACAACUACAAUCAUGUUCCAUGGUGAGAGAGUGUGAAAGCUUUUCUUCUAAGAUUAGGAAUCAAAUAAGGAUGCCUGAUUUAUCCACUUCUAUUUAUCACACUACUGGAAGUUCUAGCUGAGCAAUUAGUAAAAAGAAAUGACGGCAUUCAAAGUGGAAACAGAGAGGUAAAAUUUUCUCUAUUCAUAGAUGACAUGAUCUUAUAUGUAGAAAACCCAAAAGAUUUUCCAGAACACACACACACACACACACACACACACACACACACAUGCAUGCAUAAUCUGCAAGAACUAAUAAAUUCCAAAAGUUGUAGGAUACAAAACCACCAAGAGAAAAAUAAGUUGCAUUUCUAUAUACUAAAAGUGAGCAAUCAAAAAAGGAAAUUAAGAAAACAGUUGCAUUCAUAACAGUAUCAAAAAGAAUAAAAUACUAAAGAAUAAACUUAACCAGACAGGUAAAAGACAUACACUUAGAAGUACAAAAUGUUAAGAAAAUUAAGGAGAACACAAAUAAAUGGAAAGAAAUCUCAUGUUCAUAGGUUGGAAAAUUCAUCAUUAAGAUGUUAAUACUAUGUAAAGCAACUUACAUAUAUAAUGAAAUCCCUAUGCAAUUCCUAUGGUGGUUGUUUUGCCAAAAAAAAAAAAAAAUCCAUCUAGCAUUCAUGUAGAAUCUUCAGGAACUCCAAGGAGCUAAAGCAAUCUUGUAAAAAGAAAGAAGUUGGAAGUCUGACUUCAAGACCUAUUAUAAAGCUACAGUAAUAAAAACAAUGUGAUACUGGUAUAAAGACAGGCAUAUAGACCAAUAGAAUAGAAUAAAGAACCCAGAAACAAACCCUUGCAUAAUAGUCAAAUCAUUUUUCACAAGGAUGAAAAGAUAGUUAAAUUGGAAAAGGACAAGCUUUUCAUCAAAUAGCGUUUGGAAAACCGAAUAUUCAGUUUCCAAAGAGUGAAUAUAGACCUUUACCUUACAACAUAUACAUGAAACAAAUAUCUAAAUUUAAAAGCUGAAGUGUACAAUUUUUGGAAAAAAGCAUAGAGAGAAAGCUUCCUGACACUGAAUUUGGCAACAAUUUCAAAAGCAUAGGCAACAAAACUAAUAGAAAAAUUGGGCUAUACCAAAAUUAAGAAAUUUUUGUGCAUCAAAAGGCAUAAUAGAGUGAAAAAGUAAUCUGUAAUACAGAGAGAAUAUUUGCAAAUCAUGUUCUGAUAAAAGGUUAAUAUCCAGAGUAUAUUAAAAGCUCCUAUAGCUGAACUCCAAACAUCUACAUAACCUAAUUUUAAAAAUUAAAAAUUGGCAAAGGACUUGAAUAGACAUUUCUCCAAAAUAAAGUAAAAGUAGCCAGUAAGCACAUCAGGUAAUGGAUAUUAAUAUCAUCUCAUAGUCAUUAAGAUGGCAAAAUUAAAUACAAAACAAAGACAAAUGUUAGAAAGGAUGUGGGGAAACUGGAAACUUGUGGACUGUUGGUGGGAAUGUAAACUGGUACAUCUGCUACGGAAAACAGUAUGGAGGUUCCUCAAAAAAAUUUUAAAAAUAGAAUUAUCCAGUAAUUCUACUUUUGGCUGUAUAACCAAAAGAGCUGAAAGCAGGGUCUGCAAAAGAUAUUUGUAUACUCAUUUUCAUAGCAGUAUUAUUCACAGUAGCUAGAUUGUGAAAGUAGCCCAAAUGUCCAUGAAUUGAUUACAGAUGAACAAAAUAUGGUAUAGACAUUCAACAGAAUUGUUAUUCAGCUUUAAAAAUAAGGAAAAUUUUGACAAACACUGCUACCUAGGUGAGCCUUAGGACAUUAUGCUAAGGGAAAUUAGCCAGUCACAAAAGGACAAAUACUGCAUGAAUCCACUUACAUGAGGUACCUACAUUGGUCAAAUUUAUACAAACAGAAAGUAUAAUAGUGGCUUCCAGGG
ensembl:lncRNA